AAAUAUAUCUGGAUUUAUGGCAGGGCCGUCCCCCUGGGGCUCUCAUAGUGUCUCAUGCUACAGCACACCGUAGCCCCGAACCAUUGCCUGGCCUUGUCCAUAGGCUUCAGCACUGAAGUAGGUUGCACAGUA